rnacentral:rRNA from 1 species
AUUGAACGCUGGCGGCAUGCUUUACACAUGCAAGUCGAACGGUAACAGGCCGCAAGGUGCUGACGAGUGGCGAACGGGUGAGUAAUGCAUCGGAACGUGCCCAGUCGUGGGGGAUAACGCAGCGAAAGUUGCGCUAAUACCGCAUACGAUCUAUGGAUGAAAGCGGGGGACCGUAAGGCCUCGCGCGAUUGGAGCGGCCGAUGUCAGAUUAGGUAGUUGGUGGGGUAAAGGCUCACCAAGCCGACGAUCUGUAGCUGGUCUGAGAGGACGACCAGCCGGACUGGGACUGAGACACGGCCCAGACUCCUACGGGAGGCAGCAGUGGGGAAUUUUGGACAAUGGGCGCAAGCCUGAUCCAGCAAUGCCGCGUGCAGGAAGAAGGCCUUCGGGUUGUAAACUGCUUUUGCACGGAACGAAAAGCCCUGGGUUAAUACCCUGGGGUCAUGACGGUACCGUAAGAAUAAGCACCGGCUAACUACGUGCCAGCUGCCGCGGUAAGAC